rnacentral:lncRNA from 1 species
AGAAAAUUAUUUUAUAAUGGUUAUAUUCUCCCACUGAUAGAUUAUUGUUGUAUUAUUUGGAGUGGUUGUGCUAAAAAUGAGCUAGUCAGAAUAAUAAAAUUGCAAAAAAGGGCUGCAAGACUUAUUUUAGAUGCUGAUCCACUUUCAUCAUCAGCUCCACUGUUUAAACAGCUUGGAUGGAUGACAGUAGAGAACAGAAUCUCAUACCACAAAUCAGUUUUGAUGCAUAAAUGCCUUAAGAAUGAAGCCCCUGUAUAUCUCACUGAAAAGUUUAAAGAAAUGCCAGAAAUAAACCAAUAUUGUUUGAGAAAUGCCUCUUGCAAAAAUUUACAAGUUCCAAAAGCCAAAACAGAGCUUUAUAAGAAAUCUUUUAUAUAUUCAGGAUCUAUUUUAUGGAAUAACUUACCAAUAUCCCUGAAAAAAAUCAACCUCAAGUACAAGC